UUCCUACCCUGCUUGCACACUCACACACUAGAUAACUGACGGUCUCUCCCUCCCUCCCUCUCGUUCCCUCCUUCUCCUUUUUGCCUAUUUCUUUUUUCUCUGCCACACCACCAAUACUUUUUUUCCUGGUUUGCAGUGUUUUUAUGCUUUAGCUACAGUAUAUAGAAACCGGUUAUGUGCUGCUACCGUGAGUGCUAUCCCAUUCACAGAUCCAGCAGCAGCGUAGCUUAUCUCUGGACAGACUGCUUUUGCGCUGCUGCUCUUCUGCUUUGUUUUCCCACUUGUCUGCUUUUUUAACUAAACCUUUUCUUUUGAUAACCCUCUUGUUUUUUUCCAAAAACUAAUCUGCCAAGCAGAGAAAGAAACAGAUGGAAAUCUGUCUUUGCGAAAGGGGAGAUGAGGAAGCAGAAAAGUAGAGAGCUGGAAGUGAACGGGUAACAGGACUGAAGACAAGACUGGGUCUAGGCUGCAAGACGAGAGGAAAAGCAGUAAAGAGAGGAAGAAAUGAAGGACAGAGGGGUGAUCGAGGAGGAAUCAGAAAAAAAUUGCUGGAAAAGAGGAAAAUGGCCAUACCCAUCUGACAUCUGCUGACACAGUAUAUGACGAGAGGUUACAAACAGCUGCAGACAAUUUCAUUGCGGCUGCCUCCAAACUGCCUAGAGCUUCUGGAUGUUUCCCUCCAUGUGGCUUUCAAGCAUCUGGCUAUGUCUACAACUGCAUCACUUGCCAGUAUGAUUCCUGUGAGUUCCCACUGGACUGUCCAGGCUUCAACUCCAUGCAGAAGAAACUUUCAACAGUCCUUCCUGCUCCCUUCUAAUCAACCCGGCAGCUUGGAUACUUCUAUCUAGCUGCCUGACUUUGCAUUAUAUGCAACAUGAUGGCGUGUCGUCAUGAUUUGAAAGAUACAUUUUUGGAAGUGAUCUUACAUGGUGGAAUGAACUGGAGUGAGCUACUGUACAAGUUGUAGCUUAAUAUUUAAGAUGUUCUUGCCCGAUGAAAUACAUUCAAAUAUGGAUUUAAAUAUGGAUUUACAUGUAUAUAAAUAAGUUCAUUCUGUUGACUUGUGCCCUGCUUAUUGUUAAACUAAGAGUAGCUAUGGGAAAUUAAUUGUUACUGCUUGUAAAUGUGUGUUAAUGUUAUUGUUUGGAAUGUUAUGGGCUAUAUCAUAGAGGUUUGUCGUAUUGUGACACAAUGGCAUGUGGGUAAUAUGUAGUUAUCCUGAUGCAACUAGGAUUUGUCCGUAAAUCCGACGCUCAAUUCAAUGCAUGUAAUUCUGUUUGCCGGACCUUUUCGUAGUUAUUCUGACUAAACUAGGAAUUCGUCCACUUGAUUAUAGGGGCCUACGAUGUUAUUUAAUGCAUUUAUUUAUUAGUAUUUAUUCACACUUACUAAGAAGCACAUUCUUUUCUUUGUCAUUCUUUAAGCAUAUCCAAGUGAGGAUGAAUGACUUAGAGCACAGUACAUGUACGCUAUUAUAGUAACCUUCAUACGGAACUUCUAUUUUUCAAACACUACAUGCCACGUAAACAAGAGGAUUAAUGUGCUUUGGUCGGGGUCGAGGGAAAAUGUGUAAAGAGCUGGGAUCAAGGGUUUCCCUCAGGACCGCACCAGCAGUGCCCCCUCCAGGUCCACGCUAUGUUACAAAAUGUGUUGACUUAUGCAUUCACGUAUUGAGGCAUAGGUAAGCAUUUGUAUGCAUAUGGGACGCAGAGCUUAAGAGAUUGUGCUGGUAUAGAUGCCGGAUAAUACCCUACUUGUCUCCAAAAUAACUAGUUACCUAGUUAAACUAGGUAAUAAAUUCAGAGUGGAUUUAAAAAUGAAAUCACAGCUAUGCCCCUUCACUGGAUCUCCUGUAAGGUGCCAGUUAAGAUGUCCCAGACUGCCACUGUCUGCUGCCCUAUGAUGGCAGCUUCACCAUCAGGUGUGGCCCAAGCAUUUCUCUCCUUGAUUUGGAUUUCAGUAUGUGUGCCUGUGUACUUGUGUGCAUGUUUGGGCGUUACGGUGUCUACAGUCAAGGAACUCACAGUCAUAGAGAACAACCGGACACGGAUGAGGUGUGACGUUCCCUUUCCUCUGCCUUAUGAGAUUGAGGUGGUCUGGAGGUUUGCAGAAGAGAUCAAGACCCAGCAGAUGGAUCAGUUUGAGGAGGUGACCUCAGGGACAGACAGGAUGUACUCUAUCCCCUCAGCUGGUCUGCAGCACCAAGGUACAUACCAGUGUGAGAUCUACUCAGACCGGCGCUCCUUGGUCAGACUCUACUACUACCUCAGAGUCAUCCCUCAGGUGGUGGGGGGCCAUAUUGAGCUACAGGAGAUAUUUGACCUGUCUCUGCUUCCAGGGGGAAGGAUUAUCCCCAAGCCUGCUGGAAUGUCCCUCGCGCUCCUCCGCCUCCCCUCUCCUCCUCUCCUCACUGCCUGUCUGACCUCCCUGCUGAUGCUACUCUUCAUUUCUCUUGGGUAAUGGAACAGGGCUGUAUUGUACCAUUACUGUAUAUGCAGUCUGCACUGCUCUCAUCCACAGCUCAACAGUUAGUUAUACAGUGAACAUACACAAACAUGUAGAUACCCUUGGCAGUAGUGGAAUCCCUGCCUCCCGUGGAGAUGGAGAUAUUCUACAGUAUAUUAAGUAAAUUAAAUACAUUUAAGUAAAAUGUAAUGUUUAACCAGCCUCUUCAGGCCUUCAUGCUUUACUAAAACCAUGUUGCUUUGAUGACAUUGAAUUGCUCUUCUUAAGUGCUGCUAAUCAACAAUGUUUGAAUCUGAAUGUAAAAUGAGAUUAAUGUGUUACACCUCAUACAUCUUAGUCUCUAGAUUUCAUAUAGAGUCUUACAUGGAUCAGUGAUGAACAUGUUUUUAAAUGAAAAACAACUAGUAAUACAAGUUAGUAAUACAAAAUUACAUCACAUAAAAAUGUAAUGGCAUAC
ensembl:lncRNA